rnacentral:rRNA from 1 species
GACGUAGGGCGCGAGCGUUGUCCGGAUUUAUUGGGCGUAAAGGGCUCGUAGGCGGCCAACUAAGUCGGACGUGAAAUCCCUCAGCUUAACUGGGGAACUGCGUCCGAUACUGGAUGGCUUGGAUUUGGGAGAGGGAUGCGGAAUUCCAGGUGUAGCGGUGAAAUGCGUAGAUAUCUGGAGGAACACCGGUGGCGAAGGCGGCAUCCUGGACCAAUAUUGACGCUGAGGAGCGAAAGCCAGGGGAGCAAACGGG